rnacentral:misc_RNA from 1 species
AAAUAUUUAGUGGCCUAGUCAACAUAGGGACAUUCUUAACUUAGGCGAGGAAAAAGAAAAAAAAAUGGCAACUGCUUUACGUCCAAACACAAGAUACCAGCCCCCUGACUGGUUUACCAACAACUACACCAUCUCCACAAAUGCUGAAAGGCAAAGAGAUGCUUCCCAUCAAGUCCGUCAGGAAAGUCGGUUCCUCAGAAACGAGACUGACAACCAGACGAAAUGGGAUCAACACUCUAACAAUGUCCGCCUGGCAGACAGAGUAGACAACAUCAGGCAAUGGAAAGAAAUCCUGGAGAAGACCUUGGCUGACAUUGACAAGGAGAUUGCAGAUUUAUCUGAUGCCAAGGAACUCACAGAACAGGCCCUGGAGGCCAAGAAUCUUCCUAUGGAUGUAGCCAUUGAGUGUCUGACUCUGAGAGAGGGACGCCAGGGCAUUGAUGUGGUACAGGAUGAGGCUGAAAAUCAGCUGCACAAGGAAGUAGAGGUCAUUGAGGGAAUCAAAAAAGCUCUUCAGCAGAAAGUUGGAGAUUCCUUUGAACAGCUGUGUCUUCUGCAAGAAGCCAGACAGCAACUUCAGGCUGACCUCCAGGACAAGAACAUUGCCCUGGGAAUAGAUGUAGAUCAGUACAAUCUCUCCGACAGGUCACCCGGCAUCAGCUUCAAACCAGACUCCCUGCGGGUACCAAAGGGGUAAGUCUAAAGAAACGAAAUUCAUGGAGUAAAUCUCCUAAAUUGAUGAUGUGGUUUCUUUAUGGUAUCACUUUUUUAGGUAUUUAGUAAGUAUAUCAUAGUAAUUCAUCAAGGUUAAUGAAAAUUUUGGGACAAUAGUCCUAGCUACCAAUAACAUUUCUUUUUAAAAUUUAUGAACAUUUAGAAUUGGUAGCUUAAUUGUUAUAACAAUAAAAUUUGAAACACUCAAUAAGUUAUGAUGAUUUAAACACAGUACAAAGAUUAGAAAAGUUAAGUAUCAGUUAAGUAAGUUAAGCAUCCAGAUUAUUGGAGACCAGAUUAAUGUAACAGGGUUCUACUACAGGUAUAUAAAAAGUUCACUUUUUAUGAACAGUAGUUUCCUGGUACAAUGUAUAUUGAAUAAAUGUUCCAGUUCACUGAUGACAACUUUACAGACAAAUGUAGACUAUGAACAUUCAUUUUUGUAACAGAAGCACCACCCCUCAACAGUGGGAGGACUUCAGUCGUUACAACAAGGAGAGGGCCGAGGCUGAGAUGAAAGCUUCCACCUGUUUGAGGGAGGCCAUCCACCACACCCUGCAGCAGUGUGACAACGACCUAGAGGCCCAGAGAAUCGCCACCGAGUACGCCUACAGAAAGAGAAUCCAUGAGUUUGAGAGAGCCAAGGGCGAGCUGGAAUGGCAGAAGAAAAACACUGAGGAAGAAAUUGCCGAGUUAGAAAAUGACAUCAGAGGUAUUGAGGAGAAAAUCAGAGCCAAGAUUGCACCAAUGAAGCUUGCUCAAACCCGCCUGGAGAAUCGCACCUACAGGCCAAACGUUGAACUCUGUCGGGAUGCUCCUCAGUAUGGACUUACAGAUGAAGUCAAACAGUUGGAGGCCACAAAGAGAGCUCUGGAGGAGAAACUAAAACAGGCCAAGUAUGUCAUCUUUGUAAUUAAGUAAACAGUCUACGCAAGCUGCUCAUUUUCAAACCAUUCAGUUCACAGUCUUUUACUAGUAUUAUAAGAUAAAAUUCAAUUAUUUUGUCUUGCUGAUAAACAUGCACAGGUUAAUAUCUUAAAAAUAUGUAACCAAUUAUUUUUUUUCCUUAGGCAUGCCCUUGAUGGUUUGGAACAGAACCUUCACAGAAUAAAUGAUGAUCUUGCUCAGAAAAUUAAUUCUCUUAAUUUGGACAAUAAAUGUAUGGAUGUUCGUAAAAAACUUCAGAUUCGCCCACAGACUGCACUAGAGAGGAAUUUAACCCUUACUGGAAUUCAGAGGGAGAGGUCACACAUCUUGGCAUAAUUUUCUCCAAAACCUAGGGAAAAGAGUGCAUUUCAAUAUCAAACUGCGUCAAGCGUUUUACGAUAUCAGUAUUUUGAAAAACAAAUGUCAUAUGUGAUCAUGGAAUAAUGGAUCAAAGUUUUUAUAGUGUUAUAAUAUAUUAUGUUUUAAACUGAUUAUGGGAUAAAAGAAUUGAAGAUAUAAAGUUGAUCGAGUC